UGCCACAGUUGAUUCUCUUGAGACCAACAUAAUGGCCUCAUAGCUACACUCAUUAGUAACUCCAACCUGCAGUAUCACCACCCAAGUUAGAGUUCACUUCUUAUAAAAUCCUUUCUCUACCUACUUACUCUGACACAGCACAUCUCAGGAACCAACCAUGACUUUCCAUUUUGUCUAUUCUGCCCAGGGGGAGUGGUCCACGGAAGUUCAUCCUGCCCUCCUGGCUUCAUGAUAUUCUUGACUCCAUUGCUCCAUUUAUCUGGCUGUUGUUCUAAUUGUUGUAUGGAAACUCAUACCAGAAACACUUCCGGGUAAACACGGCUGCAAUCUAGACUCGACUCACUUCCCCUCCCCAGCACCAAACGAAAUAGACUACCUCAAAAGAGCAUAAAAAUCACCUUUGGAAGAACGGAGGACUCUCCAGUACCCCACAGAAACGAAGAUAAGAAGGGGACCUUUGAAAGGGCAAGUGUUCUGGAAGGUGUGGAACCUCAUCUUCCCAUACAUUGGGAGCCACAGACAGAUGGAAGCAGAUUCACCAUACUUAACAAGAACUUCUUGAAUAUCCCACAAAUGCAAGAAAAGGGCUCCAGCUAGCUUCUGAAAAAGUACCAGGCUGAAGAGUGUGUGAAACUGAUCACCUCGCUGGGGGAGGGGCCCCCCAAGGAAUUGGAAUCUUGAGGAGGAGAAGAUUCUGGCUGGGAGAAGAAUUGGUCUCUCAGUCAGGAGAAGCCAAAGAGACAAGGUUGAAAAAGACUUUCUGCUGAGAGUUACUCACUUUUCCUGCUUGUGACUGGAAAUCCUUCCCCCUAAUAUUUCCAAAUUGAAAAAGACUACUGAAGAAGAAACCUGAAAAAAGACAUUUUAAAUCUCUGUCCAACUUUACUUCAGCUCCUGUUGCCCUAAGUCUGAACUGUGGCCAAGGGGCCAAAUGCAAGGUGAGUUGACCUGACUUUUUCUCAGGGGGCUCAGGCUGCCAAGGCUUGAGUUCCCCCCAAACACAAGGAGGGAGGGAAAAGGGUUUUAGAUAGAGACAGGGACCCCUUUUCCUCACUUUACUCUCCCAUUCUUUCCCUGCUAGUUAUUCCUUUGUAUUACCUUGAUUGAGUUGACAUUAAAAUAGUUAACUUUUCCCCAAGUUGUGUGUGAGUGAACAGAUCAAGGGGAGUGCCUUUGGUCUCUGGUAGUGGAGGGGGAACAAGAGGGACAAGAGUGAAUCUGGGAGAGCAGCCUUAGCUAAGGAGGGAAGACAGAAGAGGGAAAAUCUUCAAAUCCCCUCUUUUCUCUCUGAGCCAAGCCUAAAUAAACAUCAGCUAUCUCUCCUGAACCCCA
rnacentral:lncRNA from 1 species